AGGAGUGGCCAGUUUUGACUAAAAGAAAUGGAUGCAGAGUGAACUUUGUUUUUGUCAACACAAUACAUGGGACCAGAAAAGUGAAUUCUCUCUGGACUUUAGUGAUCAACUUUUUGAAGGACUCCGAGAGACUUCGGUUGCUAUCCAGAAGCGGGCCUGUGCUGCUCCUCCUCCUCCUGUUCCUGCCUCCUUUGCAACCCAGCUCUGCUAACCACCAUGUGAUGAACUCAGCUUCUACCACCUACCAUCUAUUUAGCUGAAGGAUUUGUGACAGCACUGCACCAGAACAACAGCUGACACCAGGAGGAGUGUAGAAUAUCGCAAAGGCAUAAAAUAAUGAUGCACAAGUUUUGCAAAGGAACAUAGAAGCAGUUAAAAAAUAACUCCCUGCUGUGAACCUCUCAGGGCUCUAUAGAUGUUGUCUGCACUUCAAAGACUCCUGAUAUACAAAGGUAUCAGCUGAACUCCACCAUCAAUGAUGGAAUAAGAUGUCAUAUCUUAAGCUGUGCUGCAAAGACUUACCCAUGUUACAGUUUUAACGAAGAUCCUCCUAGACUGAGAGCUCGCUUCCCAGAGGAUUUUACUCUGAAAAGUUGACAAAAAGUUGAAAAAAAAAGCAUAUUUAAAAAGCCUCCACUACAAAAGGUUAAACUUUGCAGCACUUGGGUGCUGGUUUUCAUAAUGAUACUGCUAGAAAAACACCACAGAGACCCAACAAACGCUGCAGAAUCAGCAGAGGUAAUGGGACGCAACACAUUUCCCAAAAGAGCGGGGAGAAAGUGGAGCAGCAGAAAUCGAGAGGCCCCACCUCAGUUAUCAAACAUUUAUUUGGAACAUCGUAGAGACAGCCACCUCCGAGAGGGGUUAGAUGACUAUUACUUCAGUAGACAACAUGUUUAUUAUUUAAAAUGAUGCCAUUUUAACUUUAGAGCUCUAUUCAGGUGGGAAACAGAAUUGAAGCACAAUCGGGUACAAACUAUAAAAUAAACGUGUCAGAAGAUGCUGCUUUUUCCUACUUUUGAGUUAUUUUCAUGAAUGCGUCAUCCUCUACGGCCCUAUCUAAACAUUUUCAGUGGAUGCAAACACUGACCUUCUUUGGUUUGGGUUUACAGCAUCUGCUAUGUAUUCAGAGGAAACCACUGAGUUGUUUUUGCAGCAGCAGUGAUGAGUCUGUGGGCAGUAAUAUGCAGAGAAGAGAAGUUUAAAUAAAUCCUGUAAUGUGGACACUGGAUGGGUACAGUUUAUUGUAGAAAUACUUCACUGUUUUACCUAGAAAACAGCAUCUCCCAAAGUUAUUCUUCACCAUUCUCACCUCACCGCACACCUGGACUGAGUCAGACAAGUAAAAACCAUGCAGGUAUGGCUAAAUGGAAAAUAUUUUGAAUUUUUUUGGGGUCAUUUAUUUUAGAAUUUAUACCAAUCAAGAUUAACCCUAUAGAAAACAAACUUGAAGUUUGCUCCUGUUGCUAUGGCAACAGUGUUCUCUCAAUUGUGCAAAGUAUACAUCAGAGCUGACCAAACUUGAAACAUGAAAUUUGUUUGCCUUCAGUGAUGAAACUUCAAAAGAUAACUUGGACAUCUCACUUUAAAUAUCAUUGGAAGUGGUAACAAUCUUUGAAGAUUACCUUCAUAUUUUCAUCUAAAAUUACAAACCUGAUCAGUGAAACUGAUUUCAUUAAUAAUGUUAUUGGUUUAAAUUCAAAUUUUCUUUACUUAUGACCAUGUGAAAAUAUUAGAAAACUUGUCUUUUUUUAGACAUGAGAAGUUAAUGUGUUUUUGCAGAUGUUAUUGAGCUGUCGGUUCCACUUUUGCUUUUCUUGAUAUUGUGUGUUUUUUAUGUUUGUGUUGAGGAUCUCCGAAUGACAAAACAUUAAAUCAGUCAGCUGUGA